AUGACACUGAGCCUUUUCAGCUAUAUUAAUUCCAUAGAGAUGGUGCCGCGCACGGACGCAGUGGCCCAUGGCUCCCAGCAACUAGGCACAAUUGUUUGUCUUUUAGGUUGUCUUGUUUUAUCAGCCCACUUCUGCCAUGGACUUAUCAAAUACUCACCCCAGGAGAUACUGGCCAUCGAACCUCAGCUAAAUAAUAAAGUAACAGUUGAAUUCACCCGGACAUACAAUAUUCCACCAGAGAUAGCCAGACCAGCCGGAGAUCCGUGGACUGUUGUCAGCUCUGCAAGGCGUCGUAGACGGCGCAGAGACAGCAGCGUAAUAAAUAUCUUUUGCUCAUCAGACUUAGAGGCUCUGUCUGUCCAGUGCAGACCAUUCUAUCUGCCACGGGAGCUAAUGCUAGUCAUUGCUACUGCUUUUUAUUUCCCACCUAAUGCUAAUGUUAGCGCUGCACUCAUCCAGCUUCAUCACUUUUUAACAAAACAGCAGCAGGCUCAUCCAGAUGGAGUACACAUAAUAGCUGGGGACUUCAUUAAAGCAUGCUUAAAGACUGUUUUCCCCAAACUCCACCAUGUCAAGUUUGCAACCCGGGGUAAAAAUACACUGGACCGUGUAUAUACCAACAUCAAGCAUGCUUAUAGAGCUACAUCCCUUCCCCAUCUUGGACAGUCUGACCAUCUCUCCAUGUUUCUCAUCCCAGCUUACACUCCCCUCAAGAAACAAACAAAGCCCACUACAUGCACCAUCACCACCUUACCUGCUGAAGCCCUCCCACAGCUACAGGACUGCUUUGCCUGCACAGACUGGAGAGUGUUUGAACAACAGGACCUGGAGGCACACAUAGAGAUGGUGCUAUCCUACAUCAGAACCUGUGUAGAAAAUGUCACAGUGACCAAACAGAUUUGGAUCUUCCCAAAUAGGAAGCCCUGGAUGACAUCAGAGGUCCAGGCUCUAAUCAGAGCCCACAAUGUUGCCUUCAAGUCAGGUAACAGCAACUUGUACCGCAUAGCCAGAACUAGUCUGAGGAACGGCAUUCACCAGGCAAAGAGAGUCUACAGGAGGAAAAUAGAAGACCUCUUUCACAAAAACAAUCCCCAGAAGAUGUGGAAGGGGAUUCAGACUCUGACAAACUACAGAGGCCACACUCUGUCCAACACUGGCAGCAGCAGAACACAGGCAGAGGAGCUAAACAACUUCUUUGCUCGUUUUUAA
rnacentral:lncRNA from 1 species